UAUGGAGGGUGCAAACGUUGCUCGGAAUCAUUGGGCGUAAAGCGCACGUAGGCGGUCCAGUAAGUCGGGUGUGAAAUCCCUCGGCUCAACCGAGGAAGUGCAUUCGAAACUACUGAACUUGAGUAUGGAAGAGGGUCGCGGAAUUCCCGGUGUAGAGGUGAAAUUCGUAGAUAUCGGGAGGAACACCAGUGGCGAAGGCGGCGACCUGGGCCAAUACUGACGCUGAGGUGCGAAAGCGUGGGGAGCAAACAGG
rnacentral:rRNA from 1 species